rnacentral:lncRNA from 1 species
GCCGCAGACAGUGCCCGUGCCGGGGCGGGGAGGCGAGUUCUCCCUGCGGCCGCGGACCCUGGAUGGUGGCGUCGCCCGAAGACGCGCCUCACCGGCCUGGGUGGGGUUGCCUUUUGCCCUCGAGGCUGGCCUAAGCGCUGGGGGGCCGCUGGCUAACCCUGAGGUAGAUACUCGGGAAAUGGGUGGAAUAGGGAAAGGGACUCAGCCCUUCCGCCCUUUUCCCCAGUCGAGGCCCGCGUCACUGCCCUGUGGGUGCAGACGCCUCCAGUGUCACUCCCCUGGAUUUCGCUUGGGCAGAAGAAGAGAUUGUAGGCCGGACCCCAACGCCGAAGCCCUGAGGCUUCUAAUGUGAGGAAAAACACGGAAUGACAAGUGUGGGAAAGAGCAAGCACUAAAUUACUGUCAGAAAAAUAAACGGAGUAGCACAGUGCUGCUCGGUGAUUUACGGGGGCAAUUAGUCACCACCCCACGGCGCUGCUGAGGACAGCACGGCAGCAGACAAGUCAGGCCCAUGAGGAAGAAGAGGCUUUGCACUGCUCUCCAGACAACUUUUCAAACAACAAGAGAGGAUAUUUGAGCACAUUAGGUUUUGUGUCUUCAUUCUGGCCGUGUGAAGAUGUGCCUGCUUCGCCUUCCAUCAUGACUGAAGUUUCCUGAGGCCUCCCCAGCUAUGCUCCCUAUACAGCCUGCAGAACGGU